GCGGGGGCGGGGCGGGGGCGGGGCCGCGGGGCGGGGGCGGGGGCGGGGGCGGGGUGGGGACAGACCCCCGCGGUGUGGGGCGCCCGGAGCCUCAGCUAAGCCGCCGCCAGGGAGGGCACCGGACGCCGCUCGCAGAGGCGUCGGGCGGCGCGGGGCCGCGGGCUGCCGCCAGGGGGCGAGCGAGAGCCCCCGGGGCGGGUCCCGGCCGGGAGGGGCGCUCGGGGACCUCGCGGGAGGUCGCCCCCGGCCGCCGGGCCGCCCAGGCCUCUUUUAACCUUGGUCCCUCCCGCGCGCUCGCUCUUCCGCCCCGGCGCGCGACCCGGCUCAGUCCAGUUCAAGAUGCUGAUGAAGUUCAGGAUCUUUUCCAAUGGUGGCCAUUUUGCAUUGGAGUCUUCCAGAAGGCUGAGGUGAACUGUUAGCUUUG
rnacentral:lncRNA from 1 species